GAUCGGCCCGCGUCUGAUUAGCUAGUUGGUGAGGUAAUGGCUCACCAAGGCGACGAUCAGUAGCUGGUCUGAGAGGAUGAUCAGCCACAUUGGGACUGAGACACGGCCCAAACUCCUACGGGAGGCAGCAGUGGGGAAUAUUGGACAAUGGGCGCAAGCCUGAUCCAGCCAUGCCGCGUGAGUGAUGAAGGCCCUAGGGUUGUAAAGCUCUUUUGUGCGGGAAGAUAAUGACGGUACCGCAAGAAUAAGCCCCGGCUAACUUCGUGCCAGCAGCCGCGGUAAUACGAAGGGGGCUAGCGUUGCUCGGAAUCACUGGGCGUAAAGGGUGCGUAGGCGGGUCUUUAAGUCAGGGGUGAAAUCCUGGAGCUCAACUCCAGAACUGCCUUUGAUACUGAGGAUCUUGAGUUCGGGAGAGGUGAGUGGAACUGCGAGUGUAGAGGUGAAAUUCGCAGAUAUUCGCAAG
rnacentral:rRNA from 1 species